rnacentral:rRNA from 1 species
AACUUUCAACAACGGAUCUCUUGGCUCUCGCAUCGAUGAAGAACGCAGCGAAAUGCGAUAAGUAAUGUGAAUUGCAGAAUUCAGUGAAUCAUCGAAUCUUUGAACGCACCUUGCGCCUUUUGGUAUUCCGAAAGGCAUGCCUGUUU